rnacentral:rRNA from 1 species
GAUGAACGCUGGCGGCGUGCCUAAUACAUGCAAGUCGAGCGAACGGACGAGAAGCUUGCUUCUCUGAUGUUAGCGGCGGACGGGUGAGUAACACGUGGAUAACCUACCUAUAAGACUGGGAUAACUUCGGGAAACCGGAGCUAAUACCGGAUAAUAUUUUGAACCGCAUGGUUCAAAAGUGAAAGACGGUCUUGCUGUCACUUAUAGAUGGAUCCGCGCUGCAUUAGCUAGUUGGUAAGGUAACGGCUUACCAAGGCAACGAUGCAUAGCCGACCUGAGAGGGUGAUCGGCCACACUGGAACUGAGACACGAUCCAGACUCCUACGGGAGGCAGCAGUAGGGAAUCUUCCGCAAUGGGCGAAAGCCUGAAGGAGCAACGCCGCGUGAGUGAUGAAGGUCUUCGGAUCGUAAAACUCUGUUAUUAGGGAAGAACAUAUGUGUAAGUAACUGUGCACAUCUUGACGGUACCUAAUCAGAAAGCCACGGCUAACUACGUG